rnacentral:lncRNA from 1 species
AAAAACAAAGUAAUAUAAUUAAUAAUUGUACAAGCUUAAACCACAAAAGUGUACGAGAUAAAAAAAUAAGGUCUAAUAUCAGUUCAAUAUUAUAUUCUAGUACAACCAUUUUCAGUUCUAAUUAUAUUCUAGUACAACCAUUUUUUUUUUUUCACACAAUAACAAGUAACAAAAAAUUGUUGAAAAUAUUGUACACAAUAACAAAUAACAAAAAUUGUUAAAAAUAUUCUAGCAUGACCAUGAUAUCGCUCACAACUAUUUACUUAUCAACCAAAACAUCCCUGAAAAAAUCGAAGAAGUUUAACCCUAAUGACCACUAUAUGUUAGUUUGUCAGUCUUUUUUAAGGCAAGGCAAAAAUGAAGGUUCUAUAACAAAUGUAUGCUACAUUAUGAUGAUAUUACAUUUUUAUCUAUAAAAGGAUAUAUAUGUACGCUAUAAAAAAAUAAUGUCUAAUAUCGGUUCAUUAUUAUAUUCUAGUACAACCAUUUUCAGUUCUAAUUAUAUUCUAGUACAACCAUUUUUAUUUUUUUUCACACUAACAAAUAACAAAAAAUUGUUGAAAAUAUUCUACACAAUACCAAAUAACAAAAAAAUGUUGAAAAUAUUCUAGUAUGACCAUGAUAUCGCUCACAACUAUUCACUUAUCAACCAAAACAUCCCUGAAAAAAUCGGAAAAGUUUAACCCUAAUGACCACUAUAUGUUAGUUUGUCAGUCUUUUCUAAGGCAAGGCAAAAAUGAAGGUUCUAUAACAAAUGUAUGCUACAUUAUGAUGAUAUUACAUUUUUAUCUAUAAAAGGAUAUAUGGUGAACCAUCCAGUGCGGAAAAGAAACAAAGGAAGAAUUUUGUACAUACGCGUUAUAGGUCAAUUCUUUGGUGUCUUUGGCCGUG